GGCAGACACACACACACUUUUCCUCAACGUGUUUUUAUCUGUCAGUUUGUGUUUGAGAUGAGUUUGUGCAUUUCAUUCAGAGUUAAAUACUGUAAUAAUAACUGCAGUCCACUGAAGGAAAAACGGAGCGAUGGGAACGAUGACGGUCAGGUUGGGGUUGGUCAUGUAGCUGUCCUCCUCUGCUGUGAUGCACUUCUCCCCAUAGCGCCCCAAAAUCCCCCCGUUGCACUCCACGUGGUUGGCGACCAGCUUGAUGGACUGGCUGGUCUUCUGCUGCCGCUGCCUCCAGCUGCCAUUGAAGAGGUCAGCGAUGCUCGUGCUGAGCCAGGUGACACCAGAGUGGAUGCGGGCAACAGCGAUCUGGAUGUUAUUUAAAUCGCCGUCCUCGUCAGGAGCGGAGAGGUUGUCCGAGCUGAAGGAGCUGAGCAGCAGAGCCAGAAACAGAUUCAGCACCUGGUGCUCCAUGGCCAGCUGAAACUCCCUCUCUUUCUGCCAGGCCUCGGCGAUGGUGGCCUGAUUCUGCUCUUCGUAGGCCAUGGCCACUACAGCCAGGAUCAGGUUGACCAGGUAGAAGGAGCCCAGGAAGAUAACCAGCACAAAGAACACCAUGUAGGUCUUCCCAGCUGAGCGCAGAGUCUGGAGGAGUAGUAAAGUCA